rnacentral:lncRNA from 1 species
GGGAAUUGAGGUUGUAUUGGUUGGCACUGUAGUAGGUUUUUAUUUUGUGAAUAAGUAGUAGAAGGCGGUGGGAGUUAGGAUACCCCACCCUCAGUAGAAGGCGGUGGGAGUUAGGAUACCCCACCCUCAGUAGAAGGCGGUGGGAGUUAGGAUACCCCACCCUCAGUAGAAGGCGGUGGGAGUUAGGAUACCCCACCCUCAGAGGGCUCGGUUCACCUAUGCCCUCCGAGUAUUUGAGGGAUUGCCUCUAUAACCUUGAAAUUAAUCUCUUAAGUUAUUAAUCAUAGUUCCUACCCUCAGUAUUCUUGUAGAUUGAUCUUUAGAAGGAUCAUUACUUCGUGGUAGUAAUUGUAAGUCGGAGCAUAAGGUAUGUAAGGCUAAAUCUCAAUCUUAGAGUUCCUAUAUGUUCUCAUCAACAAAACGUUUAUCCUAUCUGAUGUGUCCUUGUUAUUGAAUCGAUGUGAGUUCAUCUAUACGAAAUGCUAGACUAUCUUUACAUAUGUUCUUCAACAGCCCAGAAUCCCUAUGUUUUCCUUACUAUGCUAGACAACAUAUGCUUCUUACGAUGAGUAUACAAUGAUUCUCCAAAGCUUCCUACAUAUGUAGAAUACGGGAUAUGUUCUUUCACUUAGACUUUUAUGAGCCCCCUUAUACGUUUUCAAGAUCACAUAUAUACAUAAAAAGAACUACACAUUUCCAAAAGCUCCUAGACAAGGGAUAUCUAAAUG